rnacentral:rRNA from 1 species
CCUACGGGAGGCAGCAGUGAGGAAUAUUUGUCAAUCUGCGAAAGCGGGAACCAGCAACGCCGCGUGAAGGAAGAAGGCCCUCGGGUUGUAAACUUCUUUAGGGGAAGACGAGAAAGGACGGUAUUCCCAAAAUAAGCAACGGCAAACUACGUGCCAGCAGCCGCGGUAAUACGUAGGUUGCGAGCGUUAUCCGGAUUUACUGGGCGUAAAGCGCUUGUAGGCGGUAAUAUAAGUUGGGCGUGAAACCUCUGGGCUUAACCCGGAGCAUGCGCACAAUACUGUAAUACUAGAGGGUGUCAGAGGAAAACGGAAUUCCCGGUGUAGUAGUGAAAUGCGUAGAUAUCGGGAGGAACAUCAGUGGCGAAGGCGGUUUUCUGGGACAUUACUGACGCUGAGAAGCGACAGCUAGGGGAGCAAACAGGAUUAGAAACCCUGGUAGUCCUAGCCGUAAACGAUGGAUGCUAGGCGUUGGCAGACUCAAUCCUGUCCGCGCCGAAGUAACACGAUAAGCAUCCCGCCUGGGAAGUACGACCGCAAGGUUAAAACUCAAAUGAAUUGACGG